rnacentral:sRNA from 1 species
GUAAACAAUAUGGCCACUAUCGCAAUC